GAUGAACGCUAGCGGCAGGCCUAACACAUGCAAGUCGAGGGGUAUAAAAGAGCUUGCUUUUUUAGAGACCGGCAAACGGGUGCGGAACACGUACGCAAUCUGCCCUUAUCACGGGGAUAGCCCCAGAGAAAUUUGGAUUAAUACCCGAUAGUAUUAUAAUAAGGCAUCUUGUUGUAAUUAAAGCUAUGGCGGAUAAGGAUGAGCGUGCGCAAGAUUAGCUAGUUGGUGAGGUAACGGCUCACCAAGGCGACGAUCUUUAGCUGAUGUGAGAGCAUGAUCAGCCACACGGGCACUGAGACACGGGCCCGACUCCUACGGGAGGCAGCAGUGAGGAAUAUUGGUCAAUAGGACGGAAAGUCUGAACCAGCCAUGCCGCGUGAAGGAUGAAGGCGUUCUGCGUUGUAAACUUCUUUUAUUUA
rnacentral:rRNA from 1 species